AAUGAACGCUGGCGGCGUGCCUAACACAUGCAAGUCGAACGAGAAAGUACUUCGGUACUAGUACAGUGGCGAACGGGUGAGUAACACGUGAGAAUCUACCAAUCAGUGAAGGAUACCCUCGAGAAAUCGAGAUUAAUACUGCAUACGUCCUACGGGAGAAAGGAGGCCUCUUGCUUCCGCUGAUUGAUGAGCUCGCGGACUAUUAGUUAGUUGGUGAGGUAAUGGCUCACCAAGACUAUGAUGGAUAGCCGACCUGAGAGGGUGAACGGCCACAUUGGGACUGAGAUACGGCCCAGACUCCUACGGGAGG
rnacentral:rRNA from 1 species